rnacentral:lncRNA from 1 species
AUGAGGUGGCUCUUGGGCAGCAGCUUGAAAAAUUUUGGACAUGCUGACAGGGGAAACUACGACUGGCUAAACAGCGAACCAGGUGGGCCACUUCUGGAAACAGAGCUUCAGAGCAGACAACAGACAAGUUCAACCAAAGACGACAUAGAGCCAUUUCUGUGUAUCAUACUGCCUGCCACCAUGAUGCUCUUCCUGGCAUUCCUGCUGCUCUUCCUGUACCGCCGUUGCCAGCACCCCUCUCAGCAGGGGCAGAUCUUCAGCAUCGACCUUCCCGAGGCCCUGCCUGAGCACGAUGUGUCCAACUUCCUUUCUGCCCUGCCCUGGAGCACCGAGCAGAGCUUCCACUACUCAACGCUGCUCCCUGACGCCACAUUCCUCUCUGUGUGUUUGCCUCCAUCGUAUGAGGAGGCCACCAUGAAGACUUCCAUGGAAGAGGCUCACAUUGAGCUCUCUCCAGACCCAGUGCCUCCUUACGAAGAGAGCACGCUGCAGACCAGCAGCACCAAAUAAACUUCCUACGGAAGCACCUUAGCCGAAGCAUGCAGCACAAAGGUAGAACUGCUAUGGCCUUUAAAAUUUGUGAAAAGAUUCCAAAUGAGGCACAAAACCAAUGAAUUUAUAAAGGAAGAAACUUGAAGUAACAGGGAGUGCGUGUCUUCACCUCAUCCUAGGAUUCUCUACCUUCCAUUUGUGGCAAGUGUACACACGGUGUAGCACCAAAUCCAGUCCGAACACGGGGAUUCUAGUUAACAAACAUGUCAUGCAAGGAUUAAAUUUAAGGAAAGCUGGGAAGCUCUUCCUCUGUAAUCCCUCGGCUACAACAAAAUGUCAAUAAUGCUAUAGAUUCAGCAAUCAUAAAAAGGGCUUUUAGCACAUACAUAUUCCAGUUUGGGUUUUGUCUAUUUUAUGCGUUUAUAUUUAAAUGAGUUUUUGUCAAGAUGAGUCACUCAGUCUGUGUGUGUUUACAUCACGUCAUUCUGCAGUGCUCUGGAAUGAUCACAACAGCUCUCAGGAAAGCAAAUAAAUAUAUAACCUCUACAAAAUUUCCA